rnacentral:rRNA from 1 species
GCAAGCGUUGUUCGGAAUUACUGGGCGUAAAGGGCUCGUAGGUGGCCAACUAAGUCAGACGUGAAAUCCCUCGGCUUAACCGGGGAACUGCGUCUGAUACUGGAUGGCUUGAGUUUGGGAGAGGGACGCGGAAUUCCAGGUGUAGCGGUGAAAUGCGUAGAUAUCUGGAGGAACACCGGUGGCGAAGGCGGCGUCCUGGACCAACACUGACACUGAUGAGCGAAAGCCAGGGGAGCAAACGGG